UAAAUAAAGAACAAGGGCCGAAUUCACCAAGAUUCUCCUUCGUAAAGGACCUUAGCCAAUGGCCGUCCACUUUCGCUAAUUCUAUAUCCAGCAUCAUGAUUGACUGCUAGGAAUACGCGCUGAUACGAACAAUUCUGUAGACUACAUAGAAGCUUGUCGUGAAUCCCAGCCCACGUGUCUACACGUGGGUUGGGAUCUACAGGUAUACAGUGCCCUCUACAGGUAUACAGUGCCCUCCCGUCCUACACGAGAAGUUCGAGACAUACAUUGGUAGAUGCCGCGAUAACUACGAGGGGCGAGAUCAUGAAAACCUUUAAUGCUCCUUCUCUGUUUUGAUCUGCCUGCCAUAAAUAUUCAGAUGCAAAGUUGGCGCCUCAGUCCAGGCUCCCGGGGCUGAUUUCCCAAAGCUUUUCGUUCGGUACAUUUGAUGGCGUCCUGGAGGCCACAUCAUAAACCAUCUCGAUGUCGAUCUUCUGUCAUGUGCUGAAUUGACGGUAUAUCAACAGGUCUAGUGGCACAUGGUAACCUAAAAUUACGCAGUGCUUCUAACCUCAGAUGGAGAAACCGAAGCGGUCCAGAUGAACCCAACCAACCGACCAAAGCUUGUCGCCUCAGCCAUCAGGAUGACGCGGCGAUGGAAGCCCUAUACCUGCCAUGGACUUUCCCGGCAACCAUCAAUAAUCGGGGUCACCAAGCCGCCAAAGCUGGAGUCAGAACUCGAGGUUCAAAUGGACAGCGAAAUGACUAAAUGGCAUUUCAAUCUGGAUACUACAGUUCUGCUUCCGUGGAGGUCAAAUUUAUAAUGUGGUACGAGAAAUGCGAUGCUACCCCCCCCCCCCCC